rnacentral:lncRNA from 1 species
AAAAAAAAAAAACCUUGUAAAAGCAUGUCAUGCACCAUGCAAGACCCAUAAGAGUCGUGUACCUUAAACGGCGCCUGUCUUUACAUAUUAUAAGAUCUUUUCGCGUUUUCUUUUUCUUUAAGAAUUUUUUACAAAAUUUCACGUACAUAAGGAUGGACUCCUCCCAUAGACGGUCCAUAAGGAGCAACCUUUGACUUCUCAUUGGAACUUGAUUACAAAGGAGGAAGAGAACUUUGCAUCGAAAAAACUACUCGGAUGCCCCCCCUUAGACCAAGUAACUCGUGUAGCAAAACCGUUCGUCCACCCGAAACUGCAGAAUCAGUGAAUCCACGAAAUAGCGAGCAAAUAUGAAUAAAAGCAAGGAAAACUUAUAAGGAAAAUUCGCAUAACAAGUAAUUGUGCCUUUACCUCAUGACCACCCAUAUAUGAAAAAAUACUUCAGUUUGACAAAACAAGAAGUCUUCCUCAACUCUCCCUCUUUGUUGGGAGACACUAAUGGAUCACACAACUCCACAUACACCUUUAUCUUGGCCAAGAGCCAUAGGUUCAGGGUAGUCAGUUGGCCCUCCUCAAACAAGAUUUUAUUUUGGGGUUUGUUAAAAUGCCCUUAUGACUAGUAAAAAGGAGGAAGAUCCUAGCACCACGGGCUCCAACAUCCUAGCACCGUCAAGUUUUACAUUUAAUACUAGGUAAUAACUAAUAGCUAAAAAGUUCUCCAAACACCCAUUGGUGUUAUUAGCAUUAAGAGGAAGAUCCCAUUCACUUCCACCAAUACACAUCGCUUUCUUCAGUAUGACAUCCCUAACUAAAUCAAGAGCAGAAGAUUCGACCAUCAAUUAAUCUCUCUCAUUGAACCACAUUGCCACCUACACUUAACUUGAUUCAUGGCCUAACUAUCUCUUUAGACUACACCAUGCACCCUAUGUUUCCUUGGGAUCGGUGGAAGUAGAACGCAACCCUAACUAUCACUAAUACAACUACGAGAGGUCAUAUCAAUGAGGAGAAGGGCAGGAAGGAGAAACAUAUGGAGUAAAAGGAUCACUCAUAAGGAGAACCCUCAUUAAAAUAAGGAGGGGUGUAAGGAAAGAAUAAGGGGAAGAAAAUGAUCCAAAUCGCAAAAAUUGAC